CGCGCGACCAACGUCAGCGUAGCUGAUUGGCCCGUUCGUGCGCGCGCGUCUAAAAAAUAGCCUGAUCCUAGGAAACGCUGUGACAUUUAUAUAAUACAGAUGAUUGCCCCUACUUAUGAGCCCCUGCUGGAGGAAAGGCUGCUAGCCGAACAUUUCAGCUAAUACAGCGCUUUUAAGUAUAGCAUUAUUAUUCUUACGUGCCUAAUCUUUUUGCAAUGUUUUUUCUAUGUCGCUCAUUCCUUCUUAUAUUGUUAUAACCGAGGAGUAAGGGAUCUUGUAAAGUUGUAAAGUGACCCCCAGCCCCCCAAACCAUUUUCUAUUGGAAUGACCAUCCAUAUAUAGACAGAACACGACACUAUAUAAUAUGAUAUUCGCAGCUUUUAUUCUUAUAUGUUGGCACAAUAUAUACAAAAAAAAAACAUGGAUCAUCAUUUGUUUUCAAUUUUCGGCAAUUGUUUUAAUUUUUCCGAAGUUUUCUCGGAUUUUUUUUUUAAUUUAAAUGAUCCCUAAGCAACUCAUAGAAGCUCAGUGGAAGGGUUUAGAUACAAUCAUCUAUAAAACGUAGCACACAUCUUUACAAUGUAGUAUGUUUAAAGAAAGUAAAAAAGCUUUUUCUUAUUCAGAGCAAUAAAAUCACGAGCAUGAAGUAUAGAGAAAAUUAUUAUGACCAAAACAUAUAAAAUCUACGGAAUGUUGUUAGCCCGGGGAAAUUCGAAAAAUACCCCUAAAAAACACCUGCACGACCAAAAAUUGUAAAUACCUCAGAAGCCCUAAAAAGACAAUUUCUAAGAAAAACCCUAUUUUUCCUCGGAUGCCCCCUAAAAAUACCUGAGGCCCGAUUUUUACCACUAACAAACACACGUCGAGCAUCCUUAUCAGGUCGACAUGGAUAGAACCCCCCCUCCCUCCCCUCGGGUUGGUGAGCUCCUUAUUGCUAAAAAAUAAAAUUCUGCGAUUCCUUCAAUUCGGUCGAGAAGAAUUCACUCGGUGGGUAUGACCCCCUAUCCAGACGCCGGCGCAGUUUCUGAACUGGAACGCUUUCAAACAAAGAGAGGUAAAAGAGGGAUAAAAAAAUAUUCCCUUCUUUAUACCAAAAUAAAGAAUAGCGUUUUGUUUGUGUGUCCGUUGAAAGGUUGGUAUGUACCGGCGGUACUAGCACCUCGUAGGUGCAUAUUAGUCCCGAAAAUCCCGCUGUAUUAACAAGAGCGCCCACUCCCGUGUACGCAUAUGCCGUGUACGCAUAUGCUAGUUUCCUGUAGUCACGUCUCUAUCGCAAUCUCCACACUGUCCCGUCGCAUGUCUAAUCGGCCACAGACCCCCACAGACGUGAACGGCGUGAUGGGUUAUGACGUCACGUAGCCGCCCUUAGCUCGCUUUUAUUAUCAGUAGACGAUUUCCUUUUGAUUUGGUAAGACUUACUAAUACAAACUCCGAGCGUCUGUACUCUCGAAUCUUGCCGUGGGACCUUCAGAUAAACUCAAAUUUCAUACAACUGCUCAAGGGACUUGAAGAAGAAGACAAAACGGCAGUAUUUUUAACAACCGAGGCGGUAAUAUGGGUACGGCAAAGGACUGCUUAUUCGCGCUGAGCGUGACUCUAUUGUUCAUGCCAAUAGCUAGCACGUGUGGGCUCGACUCUCCCUGUCAAACGGACACAUCCAUCUGUAGAAAUGGCAAAUGUUCCGGGGGGAACCCCAAUAGAUUCCCGACCAGUACGACUACCUUAGCGGCUGUGACUGGCGUCUGUUCGAUGCUUAUGCUUUGUUUUGGGAUCUUGUUGUGUUACGCUUGCCACCGGCAGUGUAGAGAGUGUCGUGGAACGGACAUUCCUCCAAGUACGGACGAUCCGAUUUCUGCUAUCACCAGAGACAUAGUAGCCGUUGAUAUUCCUGAGGAUUUCUUUAGGCACUCUAGGAUUCCAAGCAGUGAGAAUUACUCUGGUCCUCCGCCUUAUUUGUGUCUUUUUAACCCUGUAUUUGACGAUAGCGGAGAAAACAAGCCGACAGUCUCUCAAUUAACAAUGACUCGAGAAAGUGAGGGAUUGGAACACGCUAGGACUGCGGAGGGAGACAAAGACGAGCCUCCGCCGAGAUACUACGAGCUAUUUCCAACUCAUGAACCUAUAGGAAUUGAAAUGGUCGCCAUCAAUAGCUGAUAUUUAUUGUAAUUUACACAAAUUCAAUAUUCGGAAAAUGGGAUGACACCAUGGAUUUGUACAUGUUUCUAGCUCUUGUACGUUCAAAGUUGUAAGGCAGUAAAUCUAGUCUACUCUAUAUUAGCAGGCGUUUGACAUACACAGAGGAGGCAAGCAGACAACGCUUAUGUCAGCCGACGCUAAACACAACCUACUAAACGAGGUGUGACUUAGAAGCGACCAAGAAAAAACGUCUACAAGGACUUGAUGCAAGGUCACUUGGCUCGACUAUUCAAGACAUCCAUACGCGGAAAAAGAACAAAGAUUAAAUAGAGCCAUUUAUUAAUAAAACGAAUAGGAUCGUCAAAGGCGACGUUCUUGUUGGUAUUGGUGUAAGAAGAGUGGCAAUGACAUUGGAUUGUAUGACGUUUGAAAGUGUUUGAAUAAGAAAGUUAGGAGGAAACAGAUUGGCACGUAUACGAUACGCAAAGGUUAAUUACCGCUGAGAAGAAGAAAAGCAUUGUUAUACGUAAUUGUUUUGAAGUAUUGUCUUAAUGCACAGGAAAACGUAGUAACAAACUCAGACCGUAAUCGUACGCGGAAAUAAAUGUAGAUCAGGAGAUAAUUAAGAGGGCUAAGUAUCUGUGAAUGUAUUCGAAUAUCUACUAUAUUAUUAUAGCGAUUAUUAUCUCGAAACAUAGCUACGAAAUACUUAACCCCCGCACAAGAUAACUAAAACGUUAUUUAUGUUUCAAGUAUUUUAAUACUUAAAGGUAGCACUAAGGGACCGUGACGGAAAUUCGUGGAAUUCUGAGACGCUGCUGUGGAGUGAGAUAAAUGAAUGACAGGAAAUAGAAGGGAUUUGUUCCGCAGUAGUAUAGAAGAAAGUAAGAGAAAGCAUUUUAGAUAACAAUACAUAAUUAUAUGACUUAUUUAUUAUUUAACAUAAGAAGUUGAUAUUGUUAACAAUGUAGAAUUGAUAAAACAGGUAAAUAUAGAACUCUAAAAACAAUUUUUUUUAAAAAAAAGUUGAAAAUGUA